rnacentral:rRNA from 1 species
GAUGAACGCUGGCGGCGUGCCUAAUACAUGCAAGUCGAGCGAACGGACGAGAAGCUUGCUUUUCUGAUGUUAGCGGCGGACGGGUGAGUAACACGUGGAUAACCUACCUAUAAGACUGGGAUAACUUCGGGAAACCGGAGCUAAUACCGGAUAAUAUUUUGAACCGCAUGGUUCAAAAGUGAAAGACGGUCUUGCUGUCACUUAUAGAUGGAUCCGCGCUGCAUUAGCUAGUUGGUAAGGUAACGGCUUACCAAGGCAACGAUGCAUAGCCGACCUGAGAGGGUGAUCGGCCACACUGGAACUGAGACACGGUCCAGACUCCUACGGGAGGCAGCAGUAGGGAAUCUUCCGCAAGGGGCGAAAGCCUGACGGAGCAACGCCGCGUGAGUGAUGAAGGUCUUCGGAUCGUAAAACUCUGUUAUUAGGGAAGAACAUAUGUGUAAGUAACUGUGCACAUCUUGACGGUACCUAAUCAGAAAGCCACGGCUAACUACG